UACGGAGGGGGCUAGCGUUGUUCGGAAUUACUGGGCGUAAAGCGCGCGUAGGCGGCUUUGUAAGUUAGAGGUGAAAGCCCAGGGCUUAACCCUGGAAUUGCCUUUAAGACUGCAUCGCUAGAAUCGUGGAGAGGUAAGUGGAAUUCCGAGUGUAGAGGUGAAAUUCGUAGAUAUUCGGGAAGAACACCAGUUGGCGAAGGCGACUUACUGGACACGUAUUGACGCUGAGGUGCGAAAGCGUGGGGAGCAAAUAGG
rnacentral:rRNA from 1 species